GGGAGCACCCCAGUUAGCAGCCACAGCCCAUGCAGUAACAGCUGCAAACUCCUAGAGGGUCACAGCCACCUUGCCUGACUCCAGCUCUGGAUGGGAGACUCUCUUUAAACAGGACGCACUUUCUCAGAGACUUGAAGGCUAUCUUAGGCUCCCAGCAAGCCCUGGGAGGAAGUUGAGCUUUUAAGGACAAAUGGAUCCGGCAAGGAUUUAAAGCUCCAUCAAAGAGGUGCAUUAUAAAAUAUAUUCUAGCAGGAAGAACACUACCUACCCAUGACACGAAGUUGGACCAAGGCUGCUCUUGGAUUGCAUGACUUUGAAUACCUUCAUUGUUCCUUCUGGGUCAUAGCACGCUUAGCUUAAAGCACACUCACAGUCAUGGGUUCGAGGCCCAUACAGUGAGUUUUCAUCACCAAGCCUAUCACUCCCCAAACUUUCUGUAGCUGCUGAGAUAGAUUCACCUUCUUUCUAGUUUCUUCGUAGUCACUGUUUGCGAGGAGAAGCCGAAGUGAUGGCCAGUGUUAGAAAGAGGAAGGCCUGCAAAACAUUGAUGACUAUCAUAGGACUUUAAGGGCUGGCUUACAGCUCUUGAGCAGAAUCUCAAAGCACAAGCAGCCCUGUGCAGGAGCUCGACUGGGCACUUUGUAUGUUAUUUUGUUGAGUUAACAAGGAAUAGAAGAGUUUAAUAAAGUCCUUGUUGAUGCGUUUGUCUAAAGGAACAUUCUGCCUUUUAAUUUCGGAUUAAAAUUCUGGAUUUUAA